rnacentral:rRNA from 1 species
GACGAACGCUGGCGGCGUGCUUAACACAUGCAAGUCGAACGGAAAGGCCCUGCUCUUGCGGGGCGCUCGAGUGGCGAACGGGUGAGUAAAACGCGAGUAACCUGCCCUUGACUUUGGGAUAACUUCAGGAAACUCGGGCUCAUACCGGAUAGGAGCUCCUGCUGCAUGGUGGGGGUUGGAAAGUUUCGGCGGUUGGGGAUGGAAUCGCAGCUUAUCAGCUUGUUUGUGAGGUAGUGGCUUACCAAGGCUUUGACGGGUAGCCGGCCUGGGAGGCUGACCGGCGACAUUGGGACUGAGAUACGGCCCAGACUGCUACGGGAGGCAGCAGUGGGGAAUAUUGCAGAAUGGGCGGAAGCGUGAUGCGGCAACGCCGCGUGCGGGAUGAUGGCCUUCGGGUUGUAAACCGCUUUCGCCUGUGAUGAAGCGGGAGUGACGGUAAUGGGUAAGGAAGCACCGGCUAACUACGUG